ensembl:misc_RNA Metazoa_SRP Metazoan signal recognition particle RNA
GCUGGGCGCAGUGGCUCACGCCUGUAAUCCCAGCACUUUGGGAGGCAGAGGCGGGUGGAUCACCUGAGGUCAGGAGUUCGAGACCAGCCUGACCAACAUGGUGAAACCCCGUCUCUA